AUGUCUAUGCACAAGCCGAAUCGGCGAAGCCGCGAAUGGCUCAUUACAACAGCCGUGGUUUCUUGGAUCUUUCAUCCUACUUGGAUAACUGUGGCAAUUCUAGAGCUAAUACACGCACUGAAACCGCAGCCUCGUGCAGCGGUGCAUUUAUUAGAACAAAGCCAACCGGGCCUCGCCCGUCCACUGGCGAAUCUGAAUAACCUGGCCGAUCGCACGGUCUCGCACCGGCGACGCAUCUUUCAAGUGUCUGCCUUAUCAACUUUCGAUGGUAGGUUACGUGCCUACCAUGGUUGCAACGGGUAACGGAGAAUAAGGGUUCGACUCCGGAGAGGGAGCCUGAGAAACGGCUACCACAUCCAAGGAAGGCAGCAGGCGCGCAAAUUACCCACUCUCGGCACGAGGAGGUAGUGACGAAAAAUAACGAGGCGGUUCUCUUUCGAGGCCCGUUAUCGGAAUGAGAACAAUUCAAACCCUUUAACGAGGAUCUAGCAGAGGGCAAGUCUGGUGCCAGCAGCCGCGGUAAUUCCAGCUCUGCAAGUGUAUACCUUUGCUGUUGCGGUUAAAAAGCUCGUAGUUGGAUCUGCGCCCCAGGAGUCGGUCGUCCCGAGCGGAUCGUACUGACAUCCGGGGAAUCUUGGCCGGUCUUCGCCUGGCGCCCUUCACUGGGUGUCUUGCGUGGCUGGCACGUUUACUUUGAAAAAAUUAGAGUGCUCAAAACAGGCGCACGCCUGCAUACUGGUGCAUGGAAUAAUAGAAUAGGACCUCGGUUCUAUUUUGUUGGUUUUCGGAACGGAGGUAAUGAUUAAGAGGAACAGACGGGGGCAUUCGUAUUCCGACGUUAGAGGUGAAAUUCUUGGAUCGUCGGAAGACGGACAACUGCGAAGGCAUUUGCCAAGAAUGUUUUCAUUAAUCAAGAACGAAAGUUAGAGGUUCGAAGGCGAUCAGAUACCGCCCUAGUUCUAACCGUAAACGAUGCCAACUAGCGAUCUGCUGGCGACGAUGCUGUCCCAGCAGGCAGCUUCCCGGAAACGAAAGUGUUCCGGUUCCGGGGGAAGUAUGGUUGCAAAGCUGAAACUUAAAGGAAUUGACGGAAGGGCACCACCAGGAGUGGAGCCUGCGGCUUAAUUUGACUCAACACGGGAAACCUCACCCGGCCCGGACACCGUAAGGAUUGACAGAUUGAGAGCUCUUUCUUGAUUCGGUGGGUGGUGGUGCAUGGCCGUUCUUAGUUGGUGGAGCGAUUUGUCUGGUUAAUUCCGAUAACGAACGAGACUCUAGCCUACUAACUAGCGGGCGGAUCGCUAGUCCGCAGCGCUUCUUAGAGGGACAAGCGGUGUUCAGCCGCACGAGAUUGAGCAAUAACAGGUCUGUGAUGCCCUUAGAUGUUCGGGGCUGCACGCGCGCUACACUGAAGGAAUCAGCGUGCACUCUGCCUGGCCCGAAACGGCCGGGUAACCCUUGAAAAUCCUUCGUGAUUGGGAUAGGGAAUUGCAAUUAUUUCCCUUGAACGAGGAAUUCCCAGUAAGUGCGGGUCAUCAGCUCGCGCUGAUUACGUCCCUGCCCUUUGUACACACCGCCCGUCGCUGCCCGGGACUGAGCCGUUUCGAGAAGAUCGGGGACUGGCGCUUGCGGCUUCUCGCGGAGCCGCCUGCGCCGGAAACCGUUUUGAUCGCAGUGGCUUGAACCGGGC
rnacentral:rRNA from 1 species